AUCCGUGUGAGAUGCUCCAGAACAAAGAGGUUAUUUGCUCGUUGUCGAUUCUUUGAAAUGAAGGAGCGACGCGUCUGGUGGCUGCACAUCGAGAAAUGAAGCCUCACAAAGGGAUCUGUGAAGGUGAAGCAGAGGAGACACCAUCAUCGGGUUGUGCAAGUCGCUCAUGUUGUGUUUCAUAACAGAGCCGGACAGACACUACUCGUUCAGUGGUCAACAAGACAGCGUUUACAAACCUUUGGACUGAGGUUUCCAGGAGUUGAGAUUCAAGCUGACCAGAUGUCAACAUUCCAGAGAGGAUUUAAAAAAGACAUUGUUUGGAGCAGGAAAACAAAAAAGGUGCAGAACAGAAGCUCCGUCAAAGAGCGGGAGAAGAAAGGGACGGGUCCGGGUCCUUUCAGUCCAGGACGAGGACGAGCCCACACAGAUGGGCUGGGACAGAGGACGCGCUGAUUAAUGAUUAAUCUGCCUCAGCCACAACAGAGAGGAUGCAAACACGGCCCGGGAGCAGAGCCACUUCAAACCCCGGCAGAGAGAAAGGAGAGGAGCCGGCAGAUAUGGCAUCAUUCAGCCUGCUCGCUGGAGCUCGUGCACAUUGUGUCCUUAAGUGAUGGACCAGUGAAAGACACGGCUAUUUAAAGCCUCUACAGUCCGUGCUGCAGACGAGAGAGGGGGGGGGUGUGUGCAGUGUUCAUGUGGAUGUGUGUGUGUGUGCGAUGGAGAAUGAGGCCGACGGGAACAAACAGAAAAGAGAGAACCAAGUUUUUAUUAAUGUGAUUUUGUUUUUAUUUGCACUGCGACGAGCUGUUUGUUAUUAAAGAGGCAAAGUGACUGAGACGCUGCAUGAAAGA